rnacentral:rRNA from 1 species
CCCUUAGAUGUUCUGGGCUGCACGCGCGCUACACUGAUGCGCUCAACGAGUUUAUGACCUUGCCCGGAAGGGUUGGGUAAUCUUUUCAAAACGCAUCGUGAUGGGGAUAGAUUAUUGCAAUUAUUAAUCUUCAACGAGGAAUUCCUAGUAAGCGCGAGUCAUCAGCUCGUGCUGAUUACGUCCCUGCCCUUUGUACACACCGCCCGCCGCUCCUACCGAUUGAGUGAUCCGGUGAAUAAUUCGGACUGCGGCAAUGUUCAGCUCCUGAAUGUUGCUGCGGAAAGUUUAGUGAACCUUAUCACUUAGAGGAAGGAGAAGUCGUAACA